AGCAGCCGCGGUAAUUCCAGCUCCAAUAGCGUAUAUUAAAGUUGUUGCAGUUAAAAAGCUCGUAGUUGAAUUUCGGGAUCAAGUCGUCGGUCGUGCCUCGGUACGCACUGGUGACAUUGGUUUCUACCUUCUGAAGAACCUUGAUGUCAUUAAUUUGGUGUCUUGGGGAAUCAGGACUGUUACUUUGAAAAAAUUAGAGUGUUUAAAAGCAGGCUCACGCUUGAAUACAUUAGCAUGGAAUAAUGAAAUAGGACGUUUGAUUCUAUUUUGUUGGUUUCUAGGAUCGACGUAAUGAUUAAUAGGGAUAGUUGGGGGCAUUAGUAUUCAAUUGUCAGUAGGUGAAAUUCUUGGAUUUAUUGAAGACUAACUACUGCGAAAAGCAUUUGCCAAGGAUGUUUUCAUUAAUCAAGAACGAAAGUUAGGGGAUCGAAGACGAUCAGAUACCGUCGUAGUCUUAACCAUAAACUAUGCCGACUAGGGAUCCGGAUGAUUGUUAAUUUUUAAUGUACUCAUUACGGCG
rnacentral:rRNA from 1 species